UGCUCUUGUGGCAUAGUGGUUAUAGCAUUAACCUCGGAUGCGGGAGGUCGUGGGUUCGAGUCCAAGCCGAGUCAU